UAAGGAAUAUUGGUCAAUGGAGGGAACUCUGAACCAGCCAUGCCGCGUGCAGGAAGACGGCCCUCUGGGUUGUAAACUGCUUUUAUUCGGGCAUAAACCUAUUUACGUGUAAAUAGCUGAAUGUACCGAAGGAAUAAGGAUCGGCUAACUCCGUUCCAGCAGCCGCGGUAAUACGGAGGAUCCAAGCGUUAUCCGGAUUUCUUGGGCUUAAAGGGUGCGUAGGCGGCUUAUUAAGUCAGGGGUGAAAGACGGUGGCUCAACCAUCGCAGUGCCCUUGAUACUGAUGAGCUUGAAUGGACUAGAGGUAGGCGGAAUGUGACAAGUAGCGGUGAAAUGCAUAGAUAUGUCACAGAACACCGACUGCGAAGGCAGCUUACUAUGGUUUAAUUGACGCUGAGGCGCGAAAGCGUGGGGAUCAAACA
rnacentral:rRNA from 1 species